UAAGUCGCAUACAAGAAUAAAUCAAUUGAAAAAUUAUUCCGCGACACAACUGUGAGGCUCUAUUUAAACGGCUGUUAAGCACAAAGCCUGGUAGAUAAAAAUAGACAUAAUAAAGGCUUUUUUUAUGAAAAAAUGCUCGCUUUUUAACAAACAUCUGACAACACAGCACCUUCAAAAGCACCGUACGUGACAUUGAAGGUUUUUUUAAACCGAUCAGCUGAUUUUAGCGAACAGAGAUUUGGGAUUUUUAUCUUCCAAACGGAACUAAAAUAGACUCCGAAUGAUAUAUUGAAGUGUUUGAAAAGGGGAACAAGAGGGCAGCAAAAUGGUGAAAGGACUGCUGGCCUUUUUAGUUGGAGUAUACUCAGGCAUUUAUGUGAGCCAAAUCUACAAUGUGCCCAGAGUUGAUGACCCCCGGGCCAUAUUUGAAAGAGUCAAGGAAUUUGCAGACAAGCACAAAAAAGACUAGUUUUAGUUAGAACACAGUUACUUCAUUUACAUUUGGAAUAGUAGCCGAAAUAUAAUAUAAAUUAAAUGCCA